UCUUAUUUUGCUAAAACAUAACAUUAUGACUGUGCAACAUAAAAUGAGAAUUUUGCUGUGCUUUCCAGUCACAUUAAUUUUUUUUAAAAUUCAAAGAUAGUUCACAUCACCAUGAAAAAUCUACUACUAAUAAAAUAACCUAUGAAUCAACAAGGGUAAAAGUUUCAGAUGUGAUCUUUAUGUAUUCAUUCAUCUAAAUUUCCUACACCAUGACAAUUGACAAAUUAAGGAUGAUAGGUCAGUUGCCAAUUCUACAUAUAUUUAACCACCUUCUUUUCCCUUUUUGUAUGGAUGUUCCCUCUGAGCUAACUAUGUUUAGUGGUAUACACACACAACUCUUAACUAUGGCUGGUGUCAAACUAUCAUUUCAAAAUUAUUUUUAUUGGUUAGAUCGUUCCCUCUGAGCUAACUAUGUUUAGUGGCAUACACACACAACUUAACUAUGGCUAGUGUCAAACUAUCAUUUCAGAAUUAUUUUUAUUGGUUAGAUCUAUUCAUCUAUUUCGAGACUGAAGGAUGCCUACUACUAUUCAUGUUCAAAUUUUGGAAAGGUAUAGGAGAAAAAUCUAAUGUUUUGGAAAAACCCAAAGUUUCUAAUCUUUAUUUUAUCAAGUUAAAUUUAAGCUGUCAGUAAAAUAUUCCUAAGGACAAAAGAAAUCCAAAUCUUUAACGUUUUGUUAGUGUUUGAAACUCAUUAGGUCAAGGUAACUGUGAGUAGAAUAAUUGUUUAAAUCCAAAUUGUUACAGACUUCCCUCUCCUUUUCCCACAAAGCCUUCCAAUUUAAUUGACGACGACUGAAAUAUAAGUGUUAUCGACAGUGACAGCUAUUUAAAAAAGAACAACUUAAUGUGUAAAUUUGAAUCAGAAAUAAUGUGCAUGAAGGCAUUGCAAGAAAAGUCCUGGCAUAGUCCCAUAAGUGUUCGUAAAAGUGAGAGAGCUGUUUAAAUGCUUUCUACUUCAUCAUUUUUAUGUCACUGCUGAAAGGACAAGGCCUGAAAUGUAAAUUCCUGUGAUAAACACAUUUCUCUUUUGCUUUUGAAUCUCAAGCAAUAUAAAAGAA
rnacentral:lncRNA from 1 species